rnacentral:rRNA from 1 species
AUUGAACGCUGGCGGCAUGCUUUACACAUGCAAGUCGAACGGUAACAGGCCGCAAGGUGCUGACGAGUGGCGUACGGGUGGGUAAUGCAUCGGAACGUUCCCAGUCGCUGGGGGUAACUACUCGUAAGAGUAGCUAAUACCUCAUACCAACUAUUGUUUCAACCGUGGGUCCGUAAGGCCUCGCGCGAUUGGAUCGGCCGAUGUCAGAUUAGGUAGUUGGUGGGGUAAAGGUUCUCCAAGCCAACGAUCUGUAGCUGGUCUGCUAGGACGACCAGCCACACUGGGACUGAGACACGGCCCAGACUCCUACGGGAGGAAGCAGUGGGGAAUUUUGGACAAUGGGCGAAAGGCUGAUCCAGCAAAGCCGCGUGAAGGAAGAAGGCCUUAGGGUGGUAAACUGCUGUUGUACGGAGCGAAACGGAUCUGGUUAACACCCGGGGAUAAUGACGGUACCGGAAGAGUAAGCACCGGCUAACUACGUG